CUGCGCGGCUGCGCCCAGUGCCUCUUCUCUCUUCUCUCUGUAAAAAGGAAGGAAGCCCCCUAAUCUCUGCUCAGAAUCUCAUCCAUUAGCCUCAUGCCUGCCCUCACCCCCGCCCCGCCCACCUCGCUCCUCAUGGAUCCACCGCCGCCGCCCUCAUCCUUUGCUCCUCCGUAGUGUGCUGCCCUCGCCCUCACGGUCAUGAGCCGUGCGCUCCUCCCAACCUCGCGACGACUCCUUGCGUUCUCUGCAACCUUCGCUUUAUCACUCCUACCCUACACUGGGCCCCUGCUGCCGCCGCCGGUGGCGUACCGUGGCCUGCGACGCUAGGGCUUUGCCGCCAGCUCCCUCAAACAAUAGCAUUGCGCCAGUAGACGACACCCACGUGGAUUGCCAGGUCUUGUGGCUACCUACCAACUCCUCUCCUUCUCUAUCUCCUCCCCCCUAUGCUAGCUGUGAUGCUGCUGCUCUGCAGGUUGCAAACUGUCAUGCCCUACAACCAAGGGUUCUUCGGAUUAGAAGCGGCGCAUGGAUGUUGAUAGGUAGAGCCAUCUGGAUUAGAAGGUUACUUCCAUGUCUGAUUAGUGCAUUGCAAGAGGAAUGUCAAUUCUAUUCAUGUUUUCUGAAGGUCUCUACUCCAUAUUUCAGGUAGAUGUAGGUUUAAAGGGCUAAAACCAUCCAGGCAUAUGAGCAUGCAUGUUUGUAAUUUGCAUUAGCAAUCCGGAUGACGAUAGGUAGAGAUGGGCAUGUAUUUCUCCCGAUGAACGAUAGGUAGAGAUGGGCAUGUAUUUCUUCUUUGCCCCUUUUCUUGUUUUGGUUUAAUUGAUUGAUGCUAAUAUCAUAGCUUCGAUAGUUGUCGUUGGUUUCUUGUACUCUUGGCCGAGUUGCUCGUCGAACACCAGAAGCUGGGGCCUUUGAUGCAGGUUCUGCCCAUAUGCAACAAGCUGCUAAGCCAAGGUGCCAAGGAGCUUGCCCAGUAAUUCAGCAUAGCCCAGGUGUUCAUAUAUGACUUCUGACUUAUGUUCAUUGUAGCAGCUUGCUCAGUAAAGUGGACUUCUGAAUUUGCAUCAGGGAAUGAAGCUUUUACCAAUUGGUAUAAAGAGUUCUCUUGCUAUUUUCACAUACUCCUCAGUUGUUGGCAUGACAACACGGGUAUGCUGCUCUCAGUUUUUGUAGAAAUUCUAUUUUGAGGAGAAACUUGAGAAUGCCACCGCCUUCAAGAUCAUUCAGGCCCAAGUGACACUGCCUUCAUCAGCUCCUCACUGCCUUGCCUGCUCCGGAGACGGACCCAAUGCAAUGAUAUACACCUGGUUCCUGCCCCCUCUGCUGCAAAGCCACCAUACCAAAUGCCUCCUCACUGCCUUACCUGCUCCAGAGACAGACCCAUCCCAGCAUCUGCACACCUCCAAGGUCAGCUUGCUCUACCUUGCUCAUAUUAAUUGUCUCUUAUCCAAUAAUGCACUGCCUACCGGAUAUGGGAGUUUAGGAAGAAGGUUUCUUGGCACUAUCAUUUUAGCUGAAAUCAUUACUUAUCUUAAAUUAGCCACUUUAUCUAACUGCUUCCAUUUUAUCGUUCUUAUUUUUUGAAAUGGAGAGAGGGAGAGCCACAUCAGAGGGAGGGAAGGACAUUGUUUUAGAGUCAGGUUAAAAAAAAACAAAAUUACUUACGGCUAUAUUAUGAGGUGCUUUGUGCCAGUUAGAUGCUUUGUGCAAUUUAGCUUACUUAAUGAGCCUGCUCCAAUCAAAAUGUGUCCUUGCUAUUGUUUAAAAUAUUUAUGGCCACUUUUGUGCUGUCAUGAUUUUAGAACAUGUCACUUAGGUAUGGUUGAAAUAAAAGGAGACUACAGAAACAUCUCUAAGGUGAGACUGAUAUAUUAUUUUGUCACAGCUUGAAACCACGCCAACACUAUCAUUUUUUAUGAUGAUCAGUUGAUGAUCACCGAAUCACAUCUUUAAUUUUCAGUAUUUGAUGUUUUCGUAUCAGUUACACUACAUUGUCUUUGAUACUCUUGGCUAUAUAAUUUCUGGUUUGUGCAUAUUAGCUAUCAAGCCAGACUAAUGUUUCUGAAUGAUGGUAAGAUGGUAAUGACCUAUGAUGUUGGACAACUUGCUCCUUCGUUGUGUGAAGAAAAAAGCUUUGCUCAGAUGAGGCUUAACUUUACAAGGCAAGAAGUGGUUGUGGUUGGUUGCCGCUGAAUCUCCCUCAUAUUACAUUCCAUUAGAAGUAAAGGUUUUAGUAAUGAUAUAGAUCUAUAAUUGGGAGUUGUUUGUCUGCGUCUUGACUCAUUUUUAUCUCAGACAUGGCCUUCUUUUGAUCUAAGACAAUAGAUAUAUGGUUUUACUUUAGCUUUGUGCAAGAAGGAUUCAAGUAUCACCAGGUAAAGAAAAUGUAUACGAUGUUAACAUAUUGGAUCCCUAUUUGCCCGUUACAAGCGCUUAUCGCCUUGAAGUUGGACAUUGUGGUCAAUGGUCAUAUGGAUGUAUAUCACUCAUGUUUUUGUGCAUUUUCA